UUAUAAUAGUAUAUGUAUUUAAACAUAGUUACACAUACGUCUAUAUACACCCCGGCCCUCGAAGAGGGCCGGGGCUUAUUUAUCCCUUAUAUUUAUCUCUUUAUUAUUAUAAUUUAUUUUAUUUAAUUUUUAUUCUAAUUACUCAUGAUAGGUAAGGAAUUAAUGAUAUGAAUGACAUUAAUAUUAAUACAAGGAAAUCCAGGCUAGUAGGGAAAGUCAAGGGACAAAGAAGUUUAGGUUAAACCGAUCCUAGCUAGAAAUAGUAAUUAAAGACCUAUGUGGAAUGAAGCAUCUAAGUAACAUAGGGUAUAACCAAUAGGGUAUAUAUUAGUACCGGUGAGGGAAUUUAUAUAUUUGCUCUAGAGUAGUGCCUUGAGGCAUGAAUAUAGCAGUUACUACUGUUAAAGCUAACUAACCCUACUAAGUAAAUGAGUACUGUGAAGGAAAGGAUUAUUCUUAUUUUAUUUAUAAUUUAUUUAUAUAAUAUUAUUAAGAUUGAAAUGUAUUAAUAGAGAGCAGCUAUAGUAUAGCGUACCUCUUGUAUAAUGGGUCAGUGAGUUAACUUAUAUGGCAAAGAUAAAACUAAAUGUAAUUAGAAUUAAUUGAAGUGAAAAGAAUACGUGUAGAUUAAUUAGUCAUAUAGGUUAGACCCGAAGGCAUAUGAUCUAGGCAUAACCAAGCUUAUAAUAUAUAAACAAAAGUUAUGUUAUAAGGCUAAAUACGUAGGCGUUGCAAUGCCUUGUAAAGAGUUAUGUCUAGUAGUGAAAGGCAAAUCUGAUAUGCUGAUAGCUGGUUAUCUGCGAAAUAUAUGUUAGUAUAGCCAUAAUAAUAAUCAAUUUAGGUAAAGCACUGAGAAUGAUGAGAAAUCACGCCCCGCCCUACAUCACACCUAGCGAGCUAGGGAGUGAGUAGGGCGGGGAAUCUAGGGGGAUUGUUUAAUCUACCCUACAUUCUUAAUCUCUGAAACUAUUAUUAAUUACUUAUUAUGAGUCAGUCUUACUGCGAUAAGGUAGUAGGACGAAAGGGGAAUAACCCAGACCAUUCUGUGAAGGUCCCUUACAACUACUGAGUGGAUCAAAUCCUACACAAAACCUCUUAUUUAUAAGUAACUUCAUGGUUCUUUGAGUAGCCCAUCAGUCGGUGGUGUUGAUAGUACACACCCGUUAACGACCGUGUAACAACGUACUGAUUAAAGCUAAAUAUAGACGCAAUGCUGUAUUCUCAAGGAGUAGGAGUAGAUAUCCGGGCCUAAGUAGUUGACCGAACAAUGGAUUAAUUAUAUAUUUUAUUAUUUAUAAUUUAAUGGUAGCAGAUUAUACCAUAAAUGUAAUGGUAAAGAUAAUGCUGACUUGAGUAAUGAUAGAGAGGUCGAGCCUCUCCCUAUAAAUACAAGGUGUCACUGUCAACUAACGGUCUCUAACAUAAUAAUUAAAAAGUUAUUAAGGAUGAGUAAAAUUACAAGAAAUUAUAAUAACCGUACCUCAGACCGACCCAGGUGUAUAAAUAUUAGUAUAUAAAUAUAAAAUAUAUAGAUAUAUAUUAAUAAAGUAGGAACGGGUUAACUGUACUGAAUGAACUCGGCAAAUAUAGGCUAGGCCUAAAGCAGCGCGACUGUUCACCACAAACACAACCUACUGCGAGUGGGAAACCACCGGUAUAGUAGGUGAUGCCUGCCCAGUGCAAGCAAGAUAAGCCUUGAGAAAGGUUAAGUGGCUUGUCAACGGCGGCCUUACCAUGAGGGUCCGAAGGUAGCGUAGUACCUAGGCACUUAACUGGUGUCCCGCAUGAAUGAUCACACGACGCUGCAACUGUAUCCAGUGCAGACCCGAUGAACUAGUAAUAGUGGUGAAGAUACCACUAUGCCAUAGUAGGACAAGAAGACCCUAUGCAGCUUAACUAUACCCAUUCAUUGCUUACCAGGAUUUAAUCAGAUCUAUCUUAUUCUCUUCCUUCGUAAGCUAAAAAUUAUUUUAUUAAUUUGAUCUUGUAUGGCGGUUAGUUCCGAUGGGGCGUCGGCAUCACACAACGCAACUGAUGCGUCUAACUAUCUUAAUUAUAUUAUUACUUUUUUAUUUUUAUUUAUUAAAGUAUAUAUUAGUAUAUCCAUGUAUGGAAGCACUAGCAGGCAACUAGGGUAUAAAGAAUAAUAGCUUUACCAUGCAUUGACUACAACACUUACAAGUGAAGUAGGCACUUACGUGAAGUAUAGUGAACAGGCAGCAUCAUAUAGUUACUGAGUGUCGAUAACGGAUCACAGUUACGCUAGGGAUUUGAACAGGGUAAUCCCGCUAGAGAGUUGAUAUCGCCAGCGGGGUUUGCCACCUCGAUGUCGUCUAGGCUCAUCCUCCCGGUCGUAGCCGCUGGGAAGGGUAUGACUGUUCGUCAUGUAACGAGCCACUUGAGAUGGGUUAAAUACGACGUGAGUCAGUAUGGAUUAUAUCCUCUAUGGCUUAUACUUAUAUAUUGAUACCCCGUGUACGAAAGGAUAGGGGUGUAUUACCCAAUGGUUAUGGUUAAUUAUAUUACUUAAUUACCCUUACGCUAAGGUGAUUUUGAUUAGUACUGAACGCAUCUAGGUACGAAACAACAUAUAUAUGUAAUAAUAACAUUAUAGACUAUAAUGUAUUGAUAAUUCUUAAAUUAAAGAAUAAUAUCAUUUUUAUUUGUCAUUCAUAUCUUCACCCCU
rnacentral:rRNA from 1 species